CAGAGGUUUUUGUACGACGGCUUCAUUGGAAUGUAUCACUGUGCUACACUUUUGGUGGAGGAACCAAACUCAUUGUAAAAACCGGUCCCACGGUGAAGCCGUCCGUGUCUCUGCUCCCUCCCUCCUCUCUGCAGCUGUCUGAGGGAUCGGCCUCGCUGCUCUGCCUGCUGUCUGGUUACUCUCCACAGGGGGCGCUGGUGAGCUGGACGGUGGACGGCUCAGUGCUGCAGGACGGGGUGGUGACCGGAGCAGAAGAACAGAAAGGGGGCAGUUGGAGGCGUGGCAGCACCCUGACCCUCAGCACAGCACAGUGGGAAAAGGGGGCGGAGUUUGGCUGUAAGGUCUCUCACGGUGGCGUCGAUCAUCCCGUCGUAUUCAGAAAGAACCAGUGUGAAGGCUAGCAGCUCCCAGAUAGAACUGAACAUGGAGACACUUCCACAUGCUUCUACAAUGGAGUUUCAGUUCUACACAAUGCUGCAUUUCUGUCUUUCCUCUGUUCAGUGUCCUGUUGCUCUUCCUGUAGUUUUGCUGUGCUGAAAUAAAGCUUGAUUUUGGA